rnacentral:lncRNA from 13 species
GGUGUUCCAGGUCCUUUUGGAUUGGCUGGGGCUGAUGGACCACAAGGGCAGAAGGUAUGAUGUAACCAGAUAUAGGAAUGAUGUAACCACGUUGUUAUCAUGGUGAUGAUAUCAUGCUGGAGCUGGACAGUAACAUGAAGUUUCCAAUUUGUCUAGGGGGACAAAGGCCCUUAUGGUGUGGUUGGGGAUUCUGGAAACGCAGGCCUUAAGGUACGUAUUGCCAGUACAGGUUUAAAAUUGUAAAAUGAUGCUGUAUUCAUGUAUGAAUUACAGAAAGCUAUUUAACACACAUACUGUAGAUUUGAUUGAGUUAUUGUUUUCUAAUGACAGGGCGUGUCAGGAAGAAGAGGAUUGAAGGGUGACAUGGGAAAAUCUGGACCAAAGGUAGUAUAUCCAAAAUCCUAUUGCAAUUCAUCUUGAUAACAUUACAAAUCUAAACCUCAUGCACAGUAUCCUUAAUUGCACAUAUACAUGUAUGUACAUUUUCUGUGAUAAUGAGUUAGACAUUACAAUGUAUUUGUCUCUUCAGGAGAACAGCUGUUACAUGAUGCUCAGUAGUAAGUCUGUCAGUAAGACUUUCUGAAUGGCUAUGUUGUGUCCAGGGGCCAGAGGGUCUGCUGGGCAACAGAGGGCCCAAAGCGUCCCCUGGAUUGGAGGUAAGAACACAGAGACCAACUGUAUCUGAAAUAAACAAUACUUCUUUAGCUGUUGGUAGAUGUUGGUUGAUGUCUUUUGUACUCAUCUCUACUUUCAGGGUGUGUCUGGUGAGGCUGGGCCUCAGGGAGCAGUUGGCCUACCAGGACCUCUGGUUAGUGCUACAAUAAACUCACGUCAGACACAAAAUACACACAUGCAUUUUCAGAUAUGGUCACCAGAAAUAAAUGUCUACCGCGUUUUUAGACAUGUCAGCAUGACCUUUUUUUUUCUCUUCAGGGACCAAAAGGUCGACCAGGCCCUGAGGGGAGACAAGGCCAGAAAGGUCAAAAGGUCAGGUCAAGCUUCACCAUUCACCUGUCUUUACAUCUACUUCUGUAACACUAUUUAUCCUACUCUGACAUCCUACCUGUAUCAAAUCCACCUCAUCUACAUUUACUGUAGCUAUGUGAUUGUGGAUUGCUUGCUCGCUUUUUUUUUCAGGGCAAUGAUGGUCGAAGUGGGAAUCCAGGAAAGACGGGACACAUCGGGAGGAGGGGGAAAAUAG